CCCAUUGGCAAAGCCACUCCUCGAUAGUCCGCGUUCCGCGUGUAACUGUGAACUCAUCCAGCACAUCAGAGGGUGCAAAGAGAACCAUGAGCGGUAAUUCCAUUGCGCCGGACAGGCACUGACACCGGGUCUCUGUGCUCCGACCACCGGGACACCAAAGCGAGCGGAGGCGCGUCGGAUCCUCGGAUAUUUCUGGACAGCAUUGCGAUCCCGAGACGGACGCGCUCGGGCUGGUCGACCGCCGGUGCUAUGCGCGCCGAUAGUCGCGCUCUGUACCACCAUGUGUAGGACAAUGCACGGAUGGAGUUCAAGCACAACUUCGGUGAAAUAAGUAUGGGGAAGACACUCCGAUGCCUGGCUGACUCGACGUCCCCGUUGUUACAGAGACUCUGCGUGAUCUGCGCGCUGGCGGCGCUCUUUGCAUCACACUGCUUCAUGUGCACAAUUCCAGACAAUAUGGAGAAUCUCACGACGAGCAUCACUAAUAAUCUACCCACAGAUUAUGAGAUUCACUCAUGGAAUAAAACAAAAAUGUGCAAUAAAGAAGAUGUGCAGAAUUUCCUGGAGAAAGCACAGGAGAUAAUUGAAAUUUUUGAUCGAAAGAUGAAAAACGAAAGUUUUAUAAAGCAAGACAUCUCUAAAGUGCAGAGGAGUGUGAAAGACUUUUCCACAUGCAUCAGCAUGGAAACUUUGGCUCAAAAUUUUUGCUUGCGGUUCCAGCCCAACUUACCCCAGAACUUUUUUGGGGACUUGCACAGCAUAAUGCUGAAUAUAUCUUUGAAUAUACCUGCUCCACAAAACAAAUGCCUUUGCUUCCUUGAGUUUCUGACGAGUCCAAAACCCACAAAUGAUAUGACAGCAAAAUCCACUACGGUCCCAAACACGGAGGAAGUGCAUACUCAGGAAGCCACAGUGACAGAUCAAACCACCUCAUACCAACCCCCAUUAAAGAACCCUUUGAAGCAUCAUGAGACGGAUGGCUGGAAGAGAAUGGCCAUCAUAUCCAUGUCACUUUGCAUCAUUCUUCUGUUUAUCUUGGCAGCACUGCUUCUGUACUACAGACAACUGACACAACGAGAAGGAUACACCGGUCCGAGAAGAAAUGAAAUAGCGUAGGACUGGUGCCUGGAGCAAAUUUUUAACGAGAACUUUGUGAAAGAGCUGGACCCACUCAACUGGAUCAAUCCCAGCCAGGCAUGAUCUGCACCACAUGGCAGCGCAACGUGGCUCGCCAAGAUUGCCUUUGGGCUUGAUGUAAAUUGAAUGAAGCUACUGGAGUAGAUACUUUACAGUGGAAUAGUAAAGUCUCUGGAACCAAGGUGUGGACAAAAUGACUGCAAGCAACUAUGUUUACUGUGCCAAUAAUAGGUUUUAUAAUGCUUGCAGCUGACCUGAAAUGCUGCUGUGAUUGACCACCUUGCCUGGCCGGAGAAAGAUGAUUUAGAAAGUUGAGAUGGACCUGUAAGUGAAGACAUUGUGUGGACUCUAAAAGUGCAAAAAUACUGAACAUGUUGCACCAUCCCGGGCCCAACACCAUACAAGGCAAACGUUUGUAUUCGGCUGCUGGGUGAUGAAACCGGCUCUGUGCUUGAGAAAGAUGUGGCUUCGUGGUACUGUGGUUUCCUUCCAAAGAUGCUAUAUUUUAAUAUUUUGCGAAUGCAGUGGUUUGACCGACUCCUCUGCUCGUUACUUUUAUGUUUUCAGGAACUUAUAUGAAAUUACAAAGGUCAGAGGCAUGCAACACCUGAGAUUUAAUCCAAAGACCCUUUUAAAUGCUGCUACCAUGGCUGCCUAUUGUGCCACUCAAUGCAUGGAUCACAAAGAACUCAUUUGGUGAGGCUCUCAUGAGCUUUACCUGCAACGACUGGUGGAUGGAUGGACAUUAUUUUUUGUUUUUUGAAGGGGGUUUGUUGGCGGAAGGGGGGAGGGUGGGGGGUAUUUAUGGGCUAUUGCUGCAGUGUGCAAAAGUGAUAACUGUGCAUUUUAAGGUAUUUGCUUACCCGGACAUCUUUUUGGGAAGCUUGACAUGAAUUUGUCUCAUCUUAUGACAAUGUUAAACUUCAGGAGUACAUGGAGUGUAAUCCUGAAACAAGCAGAAAUGCAGAAGCUCUGAAGGAGCUCAUCACAGUAACGAAAC
rnacentral:lncRNA from 1 species